GUGGCGUUGCCCAGACAACUAGGAUGUUGGCUUAGAAGCAGCCAUCAUUUAAAGAGUGCGUAAUAGCUCACUAGUCGAGUGACACUGCGCCGAAAAUGUACCGGGGCUAAACAUAUUACCGAAGCUGUGGAUUGUCCUUUGGACAAUGGUAGGAGAGCGUUCUAAGGGCGUUGAAGCAUGAUCGUAAGAACAUGUGGAGCGCUUAGAAGUGAGAAUGCCGGUGUGAGUAGCGAAAGACGGGUGAGAAUCCCGUCCACCGAUUGACUAAGGUUUCCAGAGGAAGGCUCGUCCGCUCUGGGUUAGUCGGGUCCUAAGCUGAGGCCGACAGGCGUAGGCGAUGGAUAACAGGUUGAUAUUCCUGUACCACCUAUAAUCGU
rnacentral:rRNA from 1 species